CUACACUGUAUUUCGGAUCAAUUUGAUGUUAUUUGAAUGGAUAAAAAAUGUGAUAUUCUUUCAAAAACAAGGACAAUACCCCAAACUUUUGAAUGGUAGUGUAUAUCUACUCACAGUUCAAAUAAUACAAACACAAAGAAUGUUGUGUCUCCGUGCAAUUCAAUUUAUUAUCACAUCAAAAUUAACACAGACCACGUGACAUACCGUGGAAUUACGUAGCAUAGCAUUUUAUAGCAUACCAAAACACAUACCAUACACUUGCAGAUCUCAAGCCUCCAUAGUUAAAGUGCAUGGUUAGGUGUUGGUGUGCUUUGACUGUGCUUUGUGUGAUCAGGCUGGGCAGGAUGGCAUGAUGGUGUUGGGUAACCUCUGUCCUGUCACGUCUCUCUACUGUUUGCUUCCCUCUCUCCCUCCAUCUGUCGGUCUCUCUCUCUCCCUCGUCUCUGUGUAUCCCCUCUUUCUCUCAUCUCUGUGUACCCCUCUCUCUCGUCUCUGUGUACCCCUCUCUAUCUUUAUCCAGUUGGCAGAUGAAGUGACUUUAGGGUGGGUAAGGGUGCCCAAGGACAGGGGCACGCCUGAGAGGGCAUAGGUGGGGUAAAGCUCAGAGACGAUACACACAAACACACUGACAGACACUGACAGACACACACACACACCCUGAAAGACACACCUGCCACGUGUAUCCUUGUUAGGUGGAGCAGAGCAGCCAGGAUUAUGUGUGUAUGUCUUUAAGUCGAGCCAGUGAGCCUCGGCUCGGCGCCCCACCGCAAUCUCUUAAUGUACUCGCAGGCCGAUUCCCUCAGAGCGGAUCAGGUAGGAGACCUUGGCCUGUGACCUGACACACACAAACACACAGCGGGAGACACACACACACAAACACACAGCGGGAGACACACACACACCCAAACACACAGCGGGACACACACACACACACACAGAGGAAUACACACACACAAACAGAGACGCAGACACACAAACACACUACUCUCUAGGUCACAGCCUUGCCCUGACUGCAGUGCUUCUGUUACAUGCUCACAGGGGACUGGCAGUGCUUACCAGAGAGGAUCAACUUGUGAGAGUGGGAUAAUCCUGUCUGAGGGAUGUGUGUGUGUGUGUGUGUGUGUGUGUGUGUGUGUGUGUGUGUGUGUGUGUGUGUGUGUGUGUGUGUGUGUGUGUGUGUGUGUUGCUCUCUGUGUGUGUGUUGCUCUCUGUCUCUGUGUAUGUGUGUGUGUGUGUGUGUGUGUGUGUGUGUGUGUGUGUGUGUGUGUGUGUGUGUGUGUGUGUGUGUGUGUCGCUCUGUCUCUGUGUGUGUGUCGCUUUCUGUCUCUGUGUGUGUGUGAGUUUGUCUCUCUGUACCUCUAUGUUUGUGUGUCUUUGUGUGUGUUUUAAGAGGGAUGCUAGACAGAAGAGGGGAGAAAGAAUGAGAAGAGUGACAAGACAACAAGAUAAGGAGAUUGAAGCAGAUACACUAACAAAGAGAUAAUAGUACAAAACAAAAAGCUAGCUUACCAAGAGGCCAAAAACAGAGAUGGACAAGCUAGACAACAGAGAGAAAAUGCAUGGAAAGAAGGGGGAAAAGAUAAGGACUGCUCGUUGGCCAACUCUUGGCUCCACAUGUUCCUAGACUGCAGCGGCCAGGGAAUCUGGAACAUUCUCUACCUUUGUUCUCAUCUGGAGGGGAAGGUUUUUAGAGGGACACGCUCUCAUAUCCUGUUCUUGCCGACGCCAACACCGCCCUUGAAGUCAGAUUUAUUGUAUGCUGUGUGUGUGUGCGUAUGUGGGGGUGUGUAACAAAGAGAGAGGGAGAGAGAGAGAAAGAGAAAGAGAGAGAGAGAAAGAGUCAAAUAGAAAGUGAGGAGAGAGAGAAAGAGAAGAGAGAGGGAGAGAGAAAGGGAACAGAGAGGGCCUGAGCAGUCAUGGUUUGAGACAAACAGCACAGCAAAGUCUAGAACAAUGUCACAAAUUGCCUUUACCAGCAUGUCAGGAGGCUGGUUUUGUCCAGCUGUUUGUCGUAUGUCCUUGCCUUGUUCUCCCUCCCUCCUUCUUUCCCUUUCAUCCAUCCAUCUAUCCUCCUAACCUUCCCUCCAUCUAUCCUCCUAACCUUCCCUCGGUCUUUCCUUCUAUCCUUUCCCCAAUCUAUCAUACUGUAUCGUUCAAUCAUUCUAUGCUUUUACACACUGCUAGCUUUUGAGUAGCCAGUCCAUCUACCUUCCUAUCCUUCUACUUUUUGUUGUUUUUGAGUAGCAUAAGAAAUUAUUCUAGAGAUGUUUUGUUCUGAUAUACAAUGAAGCACCCAUGAUGCCCCACCAUGCAGCUUCAACCCAUAUAAGGGCAGCAGGCGGGUCCUGGCUGGGGUGUGGAAUGUUGGCUGACUCAGCAUGUACAGUAGCAUCAAUGUGCAGUCGUCUUUGUUAAUGCCUGAGUAGAAUAAAGCAGCCAUUUGUGGGGGCAGUUGAUGCUGAUAGUGUGGUUUAAAAGAGCUCACAUUGUACAUGAAAGCAUACAACUCUGUUGAGUAUACAUACAUAAAACUAAAUACAAUAUAGUGUAAAUAGAGCAAAAUACAGCACACAUAUAGUCAAAUCUGUCUUCAGUAAGCAUACUUCAAGCGUACCUCAUACUUUGGGACCAUACUUGAUAUUUAGUAAGCAAACUUCAGACUUAGUAAACAUAUUUCAUAGUUUGUAAGCAUUUUUCAUACUUGGAGCCUUCAUUAGCUCUGUGACAUGAGCAGAAGACUUAAUGAAAACAUUACAUUUGAGUGCAGUGGGUUCAUGUGUUUUUAACUGAGACCUUUUGUCUUGGAUAGCUAGUUAUUCUGUUUAGCCUAAUCUUCACGUGUGCUGUAUUUACCUCUAAAUAUACUGUACACUGCUACCAUUGGCUGCAAAAUGGAACAUCUGGAUGGAGAAUUCACUGAUCCGAUACAUGGCAUCUGGACACACACACACAUUUCUCGAAGGCGUCUGUUGGUCUUCUGUGUGGGAUGCAGGAAAGAGCUAACCACAACAGUUCUUCAGCUGGCAGCUUUAGUUGGUACACAAGGACAUAAAGCUUGCCAG
rnacentral:lncRNA from 1 species